AACGAACGCUGGCGGCAUGCCUAACACAUGCAAGUCGAACGAGACCUUCGGGUCUAGUGGCGCACGGGUGCGUAACGCGUGGGAACCUGCCCUUAGGUUCGGAAUAACUCCCCGAAAGGGGUGCUAAUACCGGAUAAUGUCUUCGGACCAAAGAUUUAUCGCCUUUGGAUGGGCCCGCGUUGGUUUAGCUGGUUGGUAGGGUAAAAGCCUACCAAGGCGACGAUCCAUAGCUGGUCUGAGAGGAUGAUCAGCCACACUGGGACUGAGACACGGCCCAGACUCCUACGGGAGGGAGCAGUGGGGAAUAUUGGACAAUGGGCGAAAGCCUGAUCCAGCAAUGCCGCGUGAGUGAUGAAGGCCUUAGGGUUGUAAAGCUCUUUUACCCGGGAUGAUAAUGACAGUACCGGGAGAAUAAGCUCCGGCUAACUCCGUG
rnacentral:rRNA from 1 species